UACGAAGGGGGCUAGCGUUGUUCGGAUUUACUGGGCGUAAAGCGCACGUAGGCGGGUCGUUAAGUCAGGGGUGAAAUCCCGGAGCUCAACUCCGGAACUGCCUUUGAUACUGGCGACCUAGAGUCCGGAAGAGGUGAGUGGAACUCCUAGUGUAGAGGUGGAAUUCGUAGAUAUUAGGAAGAACACCAGUGGCGAAGGCGGACUCACUGGUCCGGUACUGACGCUGAAGUGCGAAAGCGUGGGGAGCA
rnacentral:rRNA from 1 species